rnacentral:tRNA from 1 species
AGUUUUAUAUUCAAAAUUUAUGAUAUUAAAUUGCAAAUUUAAAGGUGUAAUAUAUUACUAAGACUU